AGAUUAAAACUCAAAGGAAUUGACGGGGACCCGCACAAGCGGUGGAUGAUGUGGAUUAAUUCGAUGCAACGCGAAAAACCUUACCUACCCUUGACAUGGCUGGAAUCCCCGAGAGAUUGGGGAGUGCCCGAAAGGGAACCAGUACACAGGUGCUGCAUGGCUGUCGUCAGCUCGUGUCGUGAGAUGUUGGGUUAAGUCCCGCAACGAGCGCAACCCUUGUCAUUAGUUGCUACGAAAGGGCACUCUAAUGAGACUGCCGGUG
rnacentral:rRNA from 1 species